rnacentral:rRNA from 1 species
UACAGAGACUGCAAGCGUUAUUCGGAUUCACUGGGCGUAAAGGGUGCGCAGGUGGCCAAGUGUGUGAGGCGUGAAAGCCUGGGGCUUAACUCCAGAAUUGCACCUCAAACUACUUGGCUAGAGCAUUGGAGAGGGGAGCAGAAUUCACGGUGUAGCAGUGAAAUGCGUAGAUAUCGUGAGGAAUACCAGAGGCGAAGGCGGCUCCCUGGACAAUUGCUGACACUCAGGCACGAAAGCGUGGGGAGCAAAAGGG